rnacentral:lncRNA from 1 species
CAUCUGCCCACCCUGAACAUCAGAGAGAUGGGUAGAUGUGCAACUUCCAGUAUACUCCCUUCAGAGUAGCACCUACCAUGGUAGUGAAAAAAGUCUCCAGGGACUGGGGAUAUAGCUCAGUGGUAGAGCGCUUGCCCAGCAUGUACAAAACCUUGUGUUCUAUCCCCACCACUACCGAAGGAGAAGGAGAAGGAGAAGGAGAGCUCCUGUUCUCAAGCUGAGGUGAGUCCUCUCAAAAGGCUUGGAUAAGGGAGAAUGGGAGCUUUCUCUGGCAACCAGGUGAACCUGAGCCCCCGGCUGCUCCUGCCAAGUCCUCAGGUCUAGUACAUCUAGGAAGGAUUUUCUUCAUGCAGGAAGCCCUUCUCCUCUACAAGCAGCUCCUUGGGCAGCCAUGAUGGAUACCUGGGAAACAUGAUAGCCGCCAAAGAGGCAGAGAAAAGAGUAAGGGCUGGGUGUGGUCGUAUACACCUGUAGUCCCAGCUAUUCAGAAGGCUGAGGCAAUAGGAUCACUUCAGCCAAUGAGUUAAAGACCAACCUGGGCAACAUAUAGAGAUCCCAUCUCAAUUAAAAAAAAAAAGAAAAAAGAAAGAAAGAAAAGAGAAAAAAGUGGGGGGGGGGGGUGGGGGGGGGCAGUGGUGUUUUUUCUGGCCUGUGAGGUUGGUCUCUGGCCCGGUGCCUGGUGGCUGCUGUACCUCGUGGGAGGAGUUUGGCUCCGGGAGGGACUAGGAGAAACAAGGAAAGAGACUUUUCAGGAAAACUGGGUUCUGAGUUCAGCCUCCACCCCGCCUCCCUCCUCCCAGGGGACUGUGGAGGGAGAGCUGGGAGGUAAGCCACCAUGUCUGGUGCUGUCCACUUUCUGCAACCCUCCUGACUCUCCCCCGCAGCCAGGGCCAGAACCCCAACUCAGGUAUCUGUCGGGGUGGACUUCAAAUCAGGACCCCUGUGGUGAUGUCUAGCUCCCCACUGGCCCCAAUCCUGCCACUGGCAAACCUUCCCUUUAAUUGCCCUGGCUCCGCCCCCAAGACCCCCUGAUGUUUGUGGCUGUGGUGGUCCUGCCCACUCCCUGGCUAGUUGCUGAGUGUUUCUCUCUAGAGGAGAAGGGCCAGGGGUCAAGAUUCCCUCCCUGAGUUUUCAGCCAGUGAGAAGGAGGAGGCUGAGGCAGCAAGAGCUGAAAUUCAGUUGGCCUAACUCUACUCUUGGCAAGAAGCUGGGUUGUUUUUGCAGUCUGUGUGAGAUAUGAAGGCAGAGGCUGGGAGGGAGGAAACCAAAGAGAGAGGUUACCUCUGCCCUCUCCUUCCUCUGCACUUCAUAUAGGGCAAAAAACAUAAGUUUUGGCUGGACAUGGUGGUCCAUGCUUGUAAUCCCAGCUACUUGGAAGGCUGAGACAAGAGGAUGGCAAGUUAGAGAACAGCCUGAGGGACUUAG